AGUGUACAAACUACAAUUAGAGUUUAAUUAAUUAGAUUAGGCUAGAAUUCAUUUUUGAUUUUGAGCAGUUGAUUGAACCUAAUCGAUGGAUGAUUAGGAUUAGAUCAAAGGGGCUCAAAGUCGACUUUAGUUGUAGUUGGUCGUAUCAAUUUAUAUUUUGAUGUGAGUUGAUUAACUCAAGACCGAAUUUGACUUAGUGGUUCGGAUCCA
rnacentral:lncRNA from 1 species